rnacentral:lncRNA from 1 species
CCUGAGUCGGGCUUCCAUCGGCCUCUAGGUCAACCUCCAAUCGAACCCUAAGUCAGGAUUCCGCCAAUUACCAAGAACUAGAUCCCAUGGUCCAUAUUGAUAUGGAUCCUGUUAUGAAUAAAACUCUGAUGCCCGAUCUAAAGAUACAGACAAACUCUAGUCGAGGCCGACCCAUACCUCAGCCAUCGAUGCUCACAUCGGUCACUAACUUGUAGAGAGUUCUUCAGCUUCUCACCAACAUCUUUGUUCAUAAGCCGC